GCCUUCGUGGUGUAGUUGUCAGGACACUGGGCUUGUAUUCCAGAGGUUCGUGGUUCGAGUCCCGGCGAAGGCG
rnacentral:tRNA from 1 species